ACUUAGGUGCCACUAGGCACCACAUCAGCAAAACAGUGAAUAAAUG
rfam:Nelumbo nucifera unplaced genomic scaffold scaffold00064, whole genome shotgun sequence